GGUGAAAUUACAGGGUUGUAUUGAUUUGCAUUUCUCUUAUUAUUAAUGAUUAAGAACAUUCAUGUGGUUGUUAAUAAUUUGUGAUUCUCUUGAGAAUUAUUUGUUCAUACACAAUGGGAUUUGAAUGUAUCAAUGAGAUGUACCUAUGCCUUGAUCCCUUUUUGAGGCGUGAAUAUUUCUUUGAUUAGGUCAAGAAAGGAAUAGCCUUGAAUGACUGAGUAAAGAAGUUAACCCCUUCUUUAUGGACUUUAAAGGUCUGGAUCCUGGAUAAGCUUCAGAAUUCAGGAGUUGGAGGAAAUUGUGGAGGAGACCCCUGUGACUAUGCCAGAGGGCAACAAGUAGAGAAAGGGGAUUUCCCUUCCCCCUACCCUGGACUAUGUCAUCUGACCUACUGAGCAAGUAAAAAUCUCUGUAUCCAAUAAGAGGACAGAAACACACAGAUCAGACAUCUAAAAACAUAGAGACAUGGACAAAGUAGCUUGAGGGAAGAACCAGUUUCCAGGCAUAUGACUACUGACAAUCAAGAGACAGACCCUAGAAAGGAAUAGAACCUGGCAGCCCAGCUGGAAAACCUGCCCAGCAGUUACACUGUGACAAAGAGGAGCUACAUGAGUACUCUGCAAAGAAAGAAAAGGAUUCUAGGAUGCUCAGGACCAAGGGCUGUUCACUGUCUUUGACCUGCGUAUAUCCUACAAGGGUCCUUUGCUACCACUGUCCUCUGUUUGAGCCCAAUCUUCCCAUGGAUACUACAUUUGGAGCAUCAAUCAAUCAUUACAACACUCAAAAAGAAAUAUACCAACAUCCUGCAACAAUCAUGCAGAAAAAUGAAGUCAAGAUUUCAGGGACUUGUAAUUGUUCCAGCAACUCUUUCCCCCAAGAUUCCCAUAGAGUUAUGAGCAUGAAAAUAGGUGUGAACA
rnacentral:lncRNA from 1 species